AACGAACGCUGGCGGCAGGCCUAACACAUGCAAGUCGAGCGAGGACUUCGGUUCUAGCGGCGUACGGGGGCGUAACGCGUGGGAAUGUGCCCUUCUCUACGGAAUAGCCCUGGCAAACUGGGAGUAAUACCGUCUACGCCCUUUCGGGUACAGAUUUAUCGGAGAAGGAUCAGCCCGCGUUGGAUUAGGUAGUUGGUGGGGUAAUGGCCUACCAACCCGAAGUUCCAUAGCUGGUGUGAGAGGAUGAUCAGCCACACUGGGACUGCGACACGGCCCAGACUCCUACGGGAGGCAGCGGGGGGGAAUCUUAGACAAUGGGGGCAACCCUAAUCUAGCCAUGCCGCGUGAGUGAAGCAGGCCUUAGGGUUGUAAAGCGCUUGGAGCUGGGAAGAUAAUGACGGUACCAGAAGAAGAAGCCCCGGCUAACUCCGUG
rnacentral:rRNA from 1 species